UGUCGCCUACGUCAUGUGUCAAUCAUUCCGGUCGGCUUGAAAUCUCGAGCGAUAAAAAAAGAUGUCCCGCGUAAAGCGACGUCUCGUUGCCGGAAGUGCUUUCCUUGCGACGUACGGUGCGAUCGCACGCGGCGAAGGCUUUUCUUAGGGAUAACAAAAGCCUCUGGGCACGAUGAACGCAUGUUGGCGGUUAGGGUUAUGCCGUGACGACACAAGCCGAAAGUGUUCGCAUAUGACUCUCCCGAGUGUUGUGCGUCUGACAGUGAUUCGGUCGAGGCUGUUGCGCGCCGAUUUUACCCAGACCUUGAACGACACGUGAAACUUUGCUGUCGCUUCGAUACGAAUGACAAACUCUCGCAUGUGCAUCUAUCUGGCAGAUUGGACACGGAAUGCUUUCACGUGUGAUGACGCGCGCCUGCGCUGUCAAAGCGCGCACGCAUGCAAUAGGGAGGACAUAUGACUUGAUGCCGAAAGCACACACCAACCUAUACUUCGGGAUACGAAUAUAGUACGAGUUCGACUAUAGGAGGCUUGCGAGCUCGCAGCGUGGUACCAUCGGAGCACGGAUAAUGAGACGGCCCCCGACCAAGAGGAGUUGAUAUGCCGCUAUAGUCUCGUCGAAGACGGGAAUCCUUGCAACGGACGCACACGAAGAUCUUGGAGCUGAUCUUCGUCGAUACGGGAGUAGAGCGCUGCAUUACCGGCAAGCCUCGUAAACGGCCAUAGCAGCAAGCGUGGAGGUUCACGAGAAGGAGGGAUAAACGAGUCGAGCCACGAUUUCGUUGUCGUAAACGUCAAAGUUACGGUUACAGCGUUGUUCCUAGCUGCUUUAUAUUGAACGAGGUUGCUCCCCGAGAUGUGCACCGUAAAAGAGGUUCUCUCUCAAUGGGCUUGAAUGAAGAGAUGCCUAAAUAGCACCCCAGCCUCUCUAUCGUCGCGCCCUCUAAUUACCCUGUAGACGCAGUCAACCCCUCAAUGAGCAGUGAUAAAUAUUGUUCGCGUUUGGGUAUAUCCUGAGGAAGUGAUCCGGCUCUAUAAAGGAAGAUAUAUAUGUCUCAUUGCUAUUGAUCUCUUGUAUAAUCGGAGACGAAGAGGAAAAAAAAAUGCCUGACCCUUAAACCGGACCGAAGAACGCGGGAAGGAGAUUCCCGCCGACAAAAAUGAAGCGACUUGGAGCAAAAAAAAAAGGAAAGAGAUAGUAAAAAGAACUGCUAGCUAGGAAUCUCUAGGAUCUCAGCUGAGCUACGGUAAAGAAAGCAUUCUGACCGAAAGUGCGAUAGAACCCACGAGGCCUUGAUGAUUAUAUAUCUACCAGCGGCAAAGCAGAAGGUUAUUCGGGAUUGUAUCUCUCUCUUUCUCGCAAUGAAAGGGACAAAGACAUCGCUAGAAACAGCUGACUACCGGAAUUCGGGGUUCCGGUGGGGUGAGUACAGUGGGGAAGGCACUUGAACCCCCAAUUGGACUUCCCCAUUAUACCCAGCGUACCCAACGAUUUUACACGCACUUGACUCCAUUCUACCUAUCUACCAGACAUAAUUUUGCCAAGGUACACGGCCGAUUUUCCACGACACAGCUCGCGUGCGUUGACAUUGCAUACGCGAUGAAAAUGAAAAACUCAUAAAACUUAUGUCGCGUACAAAGAAGUAGGAUAAGACGAGCAAUUUAAAAGCAAUUGUAUACAUAUAUAUCUGAAACGUGGCGAUAACGAUAGUAUAAUUGCGAACGGAAAUUUCUCGUGCAAAAAUAAAUCGAAAAUGUAGAAUGAAAUUUUUCUACUGUACGAUUUCGCGUUUCCUAGAAAAUAUCAAAUCGAUAAAAAUGUAUAUUUUCAAUCGCUAUAUUUAACCAUCCCGAUAUCUUCACAAAGAUUGUACAAGUAUAAAAGUCAAGUAGAGAUAUCGAACCGAUUUUCUUGGAAAUGAAACUUUCUGCGAAAAAAUUUCAUUCUACAUCUCCGACUUAUU
rnacentral:lncRNA from 1 species